AUUGAACGCUGGCGGCAUGCUUUACACAUGCAAGUCGAACGGCAGCGGGGUAGUGCUUGCACUACUGCCGGCGAGUGGCGAACGGGUGAGUCAUAUAUCGGAACGUACCGAGUAAUGGGGGAUAACCAAUCGAAAGAUUGGCUACUACCGCAUACGUCCUGCGGGAGGAAGCGGGGGGUCGCGAGACCUCGCGUUAUUCGAGCGUCCGAUCACUGCUGAGCUAGUUGGGGGGGUAAAGGCCUACCAAGGCGACGAUCAGUAGCGGGUCUGAGAGGACGUGCCGCCACACUGGGACUGAGAGACGGCCCAGACUCCUACGGGAGGCAGCGGUGGGGAAUUGUGGACACAGGGGGCAACCCUGAUCCAGCCAUGCCGCGUGGAUGAAGAAGGCCUUCGGGUGGUAAAGUACUUUUGUGAGGGAAGAAAAGGGAAGUGCUAAUACCACUUUUUGCUGACGGUACCGAAAGAAUAAGCACCGGCUAACUCCGU
rnacentral:rRNA from 1 species